rnacentral:rRNA from 1 species
CCUACGGGGAGCAGCAGUGGGGAAUAUUGGACAAUGGGCGAAAGCCUGAUCCAGCCAUGCCGCGUGUGUGAAGAAGGCCUUCGGGUUGUAAAGCACUUUCAGUGGGGAAGAAAGCCUUGGGGCUAAUACCCUCGAGGAAGGACAUCACCCACAGAAGAAGCACCGGCUAACUCCGUGCCAGCAGCCGCGGUAAUACGGAGGGUGCGAGCGUUAAUCGGAAUUACUGGGCGUAAAGCGCGCGUAGGCGGUCUGAUAAGCCGGUUGUGAAAGCCCCGGGCUCAACCUGGGAACGGCAUCCGGAACUGUCAGGCUAGAGUGCAGGAGAGGAAGGUAGAAUUCCCGGUGUAGCGGUGAAAUGCGUAGAGAUCGGGAGGAAUACCAGUGGCGAAGGCGGCCUUCUGGACUGACACUGACGCUGAGGUGCGAAAGCGUGGGUAGCAAACAGGAUUAGAUACCCCUGUAUC